CGGAGCCUUGCCCGCUCCCCACACUGUGUGAGUCCCAGGGACAAGUUUCUGGAGGGGAGUAUUAGUGACUUUUUUUCACUGCUGUAACCGAAUACCUCAAAGGGAUGAACUCAGGGGCAGGGGCAUUUCUUUGGACUCUGGGCUUGCACAGAAGUUCCCUACCUGAGAGAGGCUCAGAAUGAAACUCCUUGGGACUCUAAAGUGCAGCCUCAGAGUCAAUGAGAAGACAGACUCUGCACUUGGCGUGCAUUCACCCCCAAGUGUAUGGAAGCCAUCUUGAAGCAGCUUCUCAAUUCUCCUGCCAUGUCUCUCUGUGUAAGUAUCUUGCCUUCUCUGAAUAUCAGCAGCACU
rnacentral:lncRNA from 1 species